CACACGCUUUGGGUCCAUGCAUUUCUCUAAUCGAGCUGUAACACUUGCUGCUGCGGUCCAUGGCUCCAUUCCUUGAAGCCCACGAGACCAGGAACCCUUGGAUUGAGAAAAAACCUUCAAUUGGGAGGAUACUUCUUAUCUCAUUUCUAGGGGCCCAUCCGGGAUUUCUCCACAGCACUCAAGCUGAGCUUUCACUCUCUGUCCACCACUGCUGUUUGCCACUGCCGCAGACACGCGCUGACUUCCAUCCCUUCGGAUCCGGCAGGGUGUCCUCUGUGCUCCUGAUCCAGUGAGGUGCCCAUUGCUGCUCCCGAUCCGACUAAAGGCUUGCCAUUGUUCCUGCAUGGCUAAGUGCCCAGGUGAGGGGAGCCAGUGGCAAACUGUAAGAUGUGCCACUGAGAUCCCCCUUCAAGUUCAGUUCUUCAGAGUCUGCUUCAGCUGCGUGAAGUGCUUUUACCCUAAGUCUCCCCAUCUUCUUCAGACCAGCCGGCAUACAGCAACUGAGCAGGGUAGGAGUAUAAGGGGUAGUUCAUUUGAGCCUGACAUGGGGCACUGAGAUAGGCAAUAGCAGCUUCAGAGCCAUUCUGAGUAGCGUGAUGAAACCUCAAACCAUCCCAUUCUGUCCUCCCUGAGACAUGAAUCAUCCCUUUGUCCAGCACAUAUAACCAUGUUGUCCACAUUACUGGCCUAUAAUUAGUUACUUAGUAGCCAGCUCGGUUAUCAGAAUGACUAUGGUGAUAUCGAUGUGCUUGUGCUUAAGUAAACCUUAUUUUACUUAACAAUAAUCCCAAAGCUCAAGACUAAUAAUACUGGCAUACUGUCAUAAUUUUUUAUUGUAUUAUUAGUUAUUGUUGUUAUCUCUACUGUUCCUAAUUUAUAAAUUAAGCUUUAUGAUAGAUAUGUAUAUACAGGAAGAAACAUAGUAUAUAUAGGAUAUGGUACGACCUGCAAUUCCAUGCACCCAUGGGGGGUCUUGGAAUAGAUCCACCGAGGAUAAGAGGGAACUACUGUAUUAAGUAAUGGGGCCACUCCUCUUUGCAUACGUUACAUUCCAAAUGCAUAUAUUCUUUCCACUAGAGCCACAGAGCCAUCAAAGAUCUUCUAUUAUCUAUAUGCUGCGUCCUAGAUGAUGAAACACAAUUCUCAGGAAGUAUUGGCUCCAAACUGGCAUUUUAGCUGUGCAGGCCUUUUCAGCACUCUCUCACACUGACAGCUUCUGGGUGGGUCAGUACGUCAUCUCAUGGUCAUAGGCCCACUUACUCUUCUCCUUUACCAUAAACUAAGUCUUGGUCUAAUGGAAUAAUAAUGUGUUUUGAUGCCAGUGGAACCAAAACUCUGCAAGUCCACAGAUAGUAAUGUUUACUGUUGCUUUACAGGUAAGAAUGGUACCCCCCUACUAAGAAAGUGUGUAUGGCAGGUAAACACUGAGCACACAUGGAUAUAAACACAGGGAUAAUAGACACUGCAGACUACUAGGGAAAGGAUGGAAGGAGAGAGACAUGGGAGAAAAACUACCUAUUGGGUGCUAUGCUCACUACGUGGGUCUAAUACACUAUGUAACAAUUCUACACAUGUACCCCCGUAUCUAAAAUAAAAGCUGUUUUUUU
rnacentral:lncRNA from 1 species